GGUGUCGUUUGCAGUUUCAACUCGUGCAGACAAGGAGUGUUGGUGUCGUUUGCAGUUUCAACUCGUGCAGACAAGGAGCAUUUGGUGCCGUGUUGCAGUUUCAGCUCGUGCAGGCAAGGAGCGUUGGUGUUGCCUUUUAUGCUCGUGCAGACCAGGAGCUUAGUGCCAUGCAGUUUAGGCUCAUGCGGGCGAGGAGCCUUGUGUCUUGCAGUUUAGGCUCUUGCAGACAAGGAGCUUGUUUCAUGCA
rnacentral:lncRNA from 1 species